rnacentral:rRNA from 1 species
UCUGGUGCCAGCAGCCGCGGUAAUUCCAGCUCCAAUAGCGUAUAUUAAAGUUGUUGCAGUUAAAAAGCUCGUAGUUGGAUUUCUGUUAAUAAUUUAUAUAAAAUAUUUUGAUGAAUAUUUAUAUAAUAUUAACAUAAUUCAUAUUACUAUAUAUUUUAGUAUAUGAAAUUUUACUUUGAGAAAAUUAGAGUGCUUAAAGCAGGCAUAUGCCUUGAAUACUCUAGCAUGGAAUAAUAUUAAAGAUUUUUAUCUUUCUUAUUGGUUCUAAGAUAAGAAUAAUGAUUAAUAGGGACAGUUGGGGGCAUUUGUAUUUAACAGUCAGAGGUGAAAUUCUUAGAUUUGUUAAAGACAAACUAAUGCGAAAGCAUUUGCCAAGGAUGUUUUCAUUAAUCAAGAACGAAAGUUAGGGGAUCGAAGACGAUCAGAUACCGUCGUAGUCUUAACCAUAAACUAUGCCAACUAGAGAUUGGAGGUUGUUCCUUACU